rnacentral:rRNA from 1 species
CCUACGGGAGGCAGCAGUAGGGAAUCUUCCACAAUGGGCGAAAGCCUGAUGGAGCAACGCCGCGUGGGUGAAGAAGGUCUUCGGAUCGUAAAACCUUGUUGUUAGAGAAGAAAGUGCGUGAGAGUAACUGUUCACGUUUCGACGGUAUCAAACCAGAAAGCCACGGCUAAUUACGUGCCAGCAGCCGCGGUAAUACGUAGGUGGCAAGCGUUAUCCGGUUUUAUUGGGCGUAAAGGGGACGCAUGUGGACUUUUAAGUCUGAUGUGAAAUCCUUCGGGCUAACCGGAGUAGUGCAUUGGAAACUGGGAGACUUGAGUGCGAAAGAGGAGAGUGGAACUCCAUGUGUAGCGGUGAAAUGCGUAGAUAGAUGGAAGAACACCAGUGGCGAAAGCGGCUCUCUGGUCUGUAACUGACGCUGAGGUUCGAAAGCGUGGGUAGCGAACAGGAUUAGAUACCCGUGUAGUC